rnacentral:rRNA from 1 species
CGUGAGUAACCUGCCCUUGACUCUGGGAUAAGCGCUAGAAAUGGCGUCUAAUACCGGAUACGAGCUUCAGCCGCAUGGCUAGGAGUUGGAAAGAAUUUUGGUCAAGGAUGGACUCGCGGCCUAUCAGCUAGUUGGUGAGGUAAUGGCUCACCAAGGGCGACGACGGGUAGCCGGCCUGAGAGGGUGACCGGGCCACACUGGGACUGAGACACGGCCCAGACUCCUACGGGAGGCAGCAGUGGGGAAUAUUGCACAAUGGGCGAAAGCCUGAUGCAGCAACGCCGCGUGAGGGAUGACGGCCUUCGGGUUGUAAACCUCUUUUAGUAGGGAAGAAGCGAAAGUGACGGUACCUGCAGAAAAAGCACCGGCUAACUACGUGCCAGCAGCCGCGGUAAUACGUAGGGUGCAAGCGUUGUCCGGAAUUAUUGGGCGUAAAGAGCUCGUAGGCGGUUUGUCGCGUCUGCUGUGAAAUCUGGGGGCUCAACCCCCAGCCUGCAGUGGGUACGGGCAGACUAGAGUGCGGUAGGGGAGAUUGGAAUUCCUGGUGUAGCGGUGGAAUGCGCAGAUAUCAGGAGGAACACCGAUGGCGAAGGCAGAUCUCUGGGCCGUAACUGACGCUGAGGAGCGAAAGCAUGGGGAGCGAACAGGAUUAGAUACCCUGGUAGUCCAUGCCGUAAACGUUGGGAACUAGUNNGGGGCCAUUCCACGGUCUCCGUGUCGCAGCUAACGCAUUAAGUUCNNNGNCUGGGGAGUACGGCCGCAAGGCUAAAACUCAAAGGAAUUGACGGGGGCCCGCACAAGCGGCGGAGCAUGCGGAUUAAUUCGAUGCAACGCGAAGAACCUUACCAAGGCUUGACAUAUACCGGAAACGUCCAGAGAUGGUCGCCCCGCAAGGUCGGUAUACAGGUGGUGCAUGGUUGUCGUCAGCUCGUGUCGUGAGAUGUUGGGUUAAGUCCCGCAACGAGCGCAACCCUCGUUCUAUGUUGCCAGCACGUUAUGGUGGGAACUCAUAGGAGACUGCCGGGGUCAACUCGGAGGAAGGUGGGGAUGACGUCAAAUCAUCAUGCCCCUUAUGUCUUGGGCUUCACGCAUGCUACAAUGGCCGGUACAAAGGGCUGCGAUACCGUAAGGUGGAGCGAAUCCCAAAAAGCCGGUCUCAGUUCGGAUUGAGGUCUGCAACUCGACCUCAUGAAGUCGGAGUCGCUAGUAAUCGCAGAUCAGCAACGCUGCGGUGAAUACGUUCCCGGGCCUUGUACACACCGCCCGUCAAGUCAU